CUGUAGAUUCAGCUAAAUCAUCCAAGAUCAUCCUUAGGAGGAGGGAGAAGAGGAAGAGGGGAAGGAGCUGAGGCCCCUGGGUGAGUGACCCCCCCACCCCCGAAUGUCUAGUCCUACAGACAUCCAAGAGACAAAGCCUUAGCAAAGGAACCACGAGGUGUAAAGGCUCAUAGAAACCACCCUCAGAAUGACUUCAAUAGCAAAUAAGAACAGGAAUGGC